CUACGGGAGGCAGCAGUGGGGAAUCUUGCACAAUGGGGGAAACCCUGAUGCAGCGACGCCGCGUGAGCGAUGAAGCCCUUCGGGGUGUAAAGCUCUUUCGGCUGGAACGAUAAUGACGGUACCAGCAGAAGAAGCUGCGGCUAACUACGUGCCAGCAGCCGCGGUAAUACGUAGGCAGCGAGCGUUGUUCGGAGUUACUGGGCGUAAAGAGUGCGUAGGCGGUGACCUAAGUCUGGUGUGAAAUCUCCCGGCUCAACUGGGAGGGUGCGCCGGAAACUGGGUUGCUAGAGUGUGGGAGAGGUAAGCGGAAUUCCUGGUGUAGCGGUGAAAUGCGUAGAUAUCAGGAGGAACACCUGCGGUGUAGACGGCUUACUGGACCACGACUGACGCUGAGGCACGAAAGCGUGGGGAGCAAACAGGAUUAGAUACCCCGGU
rnacentral:rRNA from 1 species